rnacentral:rRNA from 1 species
CCCUUAGAUGUUCUGGGCCGCACGCGCGCUACACUGACGAAUGCAACGAGCUUAUAACCUUGGCCGAAAGGUCUGGGUAAUCUCCAAAUUUCGUCGUGAUGGGGAUAGAUUAUUGCAAUUAUUAAUCUUCAACGAGGAAUGCCUAGUAAGCGCAAGUCAUCAGCUUGCGUUGAUUACGUCCCUGCCCUUUGUACACACCGCCCGUCGCUCCUACCGAUUGAAUGGUCCGGUGAAGCGUUCGGACCGUGUCCUUUGGACGGUUCGCCGUCUGUUGGCUGCGGGAAGUUCGUUAAACCUUAUCAUUUAGAGGAAGGAGAANUCGUAACA